AAGGAAAGUUAGUAACAAAAAUAGAUUUCUAACCUAUAUUUGAGGAGUUAACUUCUCCUCUUUCCUUU
rnacentral:tRNA from 1 species